UGCUGGUGGGUGGGUGGUGCUGGAGCUGUGAAUAUUGCAGGGAAGUGGAGGGUUGCCCCAACACAAUGUCCUGCCUCUUCUAUGGGAAACCUGAACAGCGAAAAAGAAGUGCAUUGUUCAAGAGACAAAUGUACGUUCUGUGCCAAUACAGACAGGAAUCUUUCAGCUGUAGAUGGGAGACUGAGGAACAGGAAGCCCACAAUUUGUCUAAGUAGUAUGGACCAUCUGUACCUAAACAGGAAAUGAACUGGGUCUCCAGAGCUCCAGAAAAAGGCUGUCAUCAUAGGGUCAUAUAUUUUCACUGUGCCACAAUGCUUCUUGUGAAAUAAAAUGCCUUUCGCUGCUCCCCUGGGAAUCUAAUUCUGUGUACUGAAUAAGUAAAACAGUGAAAGCA